AAACAUUUUUGGGGGAAAAUAUUUUUGGUAUAACCUGCUCCAUGCAGUUAAUAGCUGCAGUAAAUUGACUGUACAAAGGUAGCAUAAUAAUUAGUCUUUUAAUUGAAGACUUGUAUGAAUGGUUGAAUGUAAGAUUUUUUUAAAUAUGUUAAUUUAAUAUUUGAGUUAAAAAGCUUAAAUAAUUAAAAGGGACGAGAAGACCCUAUAGAAUUUAAAAAUAAGAUUUUUGUUGGGGUGACGAAAUUAACUUUCUUUUCAUAUAAAUGAUUAAUGAUCCUAAGAUAGUAAAAUGAAAUUACCUUAGGGAUAACAGCAUUAUUUUUUUUAUAAGAACAUAUUUAUAGAAAAGUUUAUGACCUCGAUGUUGAAUUAAUUACAUUUAAAUGUAGGUGUUAAGUG
rnacentral:rRNA from 1 species